GCGGUGCAGGUCUUUGGGUAUGCUGCCCCAGUCACCACGUUCUCCCUUUGUUUCUUUUUCAGCCCAGACAUGUGACCUCCCCUGCUGGUUCUUCCACCACCUGCUCCAGCCUCCACCCUACCUUUGAGUUCACCUGGUCCUGUGCCCAGGAGUAGUAUUUUGGGCGUUACCUAUGGCUCACAGACACCCUCCGCAAUGCUCCUGCCAGCAUCCGAGUGUCCCAUACCGCCCGCGAGCACCGUAUCCCAGCUACCCUCCAGGACCGUAUUUGAGAUCUUGCCCGUCCUGCCCGAGGUGCAAUGCGUAUGGCUACAGAGGCUACCCACCUGGGCCUGCGUACCCACAGCACAGGGGUGAAGACUGCUUCACCUGCUGCCUGAAAGCUUGUGCUGCCAUCUUUUGCUGCUGCUGCGUUAUAGACAUGGUAACUUACGACUGCGACUGCAACUACGGCUGAGCACCCCAAGACCCUCUCAAUGCCUCUGGCAUGGAUUGCUGUGUAGCCUCUUCUUCUUCCUCUCCGCCUCCUCCACAGCUUCCAAGCACUGCAAUAAAUGCUGUGACCUGCGCAGGCAACAGGGACGCAAGUCUGCCGCAGAGAUGGCACCAUGGUUUCUUUCUUUGUUUUGUUUAAAGCAUUUGCCACCAAAGCUCCCAGUGUUUUAAAAAGAAUGGUGUGGAUCGUGUCCUGCUAAAUCUUCUGGGUCUGGAAGCAGCUGUCAGGGCUGGAGUCAGAUGCAGGCCAGCACGGAAAGCAUCAGGCUUUGUUGUCGGUGAAGUUAAUUCUUUAUUCAAGUAAACGGCAUACAACUCAGCAACCCUCCCCAUUAGUCCUUGCCCCAUGGAGCCGUUGCCAGGACUGAAGGUCCCUGCUCUCCACCCUCUCUAAGGCUUCUCCUCUCCCAGAUGUUUCCCAAGCAGUCUGCGCACCUCUGGCCUCUCUUUUGCCCUCCUCAUUAUUCUGAGCUUUCUAGGAGACCAGGGCACAGGGGAGCUUGUCACACCAAGAAGGGGAGACUCCCUUGCUUCUUCAGCAGCCUCUUGACCCCUCCCUCCUCUGCGUCAGCCUCAGAGUCUGAACUGCUCCCUGUCGCAGACUCCUCCUGCUCACUACACCCUGUUGCUCCUUCAGCAUCCAGCAUCUUCUCCCAAUCCACUCCCUCUGACCUCUCCUUGGUGUCCCACCACCAAUUGCCUGGCUCUGAGCCUUCCUCCUCGGGGGGUUCCCACCACUUGUCUGUGUCCAGCCAGUUCCUGACAGCAGCCUUCAUUUCUUUCUUGACCCAUCUCUUUGUAGAACAGCCUCCAGGUGUCUCUGACUGCAAAGCUCCUCUCUGUUCCACUAGCCCCAGCCAGUAGAGACGGGGGGAAAUGCAAUUCAGUUUGCAGUUCAAGGCAGGCCUACCAAAUCCACACUUCCUGCACCAAUGCAUGAACUGAAACCCAGCUCUCCUUUAAAAUCCACACUUCUCUUGGCGCUCUUCUGCCCCGUGCUCCUCUGCCUUGGCCAGAGGCUCUUAUGCAAAAUUAAAUGCAUAUAUAUUCCUGCGAGUAACAGUACAAGUUUGGCAGCAAACACAGAGUUCAGGAGCCACAGUUCAGGAAUCAGACAAGACAUUCGAGACUGGAGGGAAGUAGCGAAGAUGUCCCAACAGUUUCUGCACCCUGCCCACCAAGCUUUGAAAGAUGAGGUGCGACACUCUCACUCCUGAGGCUCGCUCGCUUUGAGAGAAUGUCAGAAUUGCAAGCAAGUGCUCCUCCAGGAUGUGCCGGUCUGCUCCCAAUUCUUCAUCCUACUGUUAGGACCCUGAUCAAGCGCAGACUUGAUUUGCAUGGCUAUUUGGCUGCUCACCCCACAGCCUCCCCUCCCCUGAAAUGCUCUGUUCUGUCAGGAGGUUGUGGGCAGAACUGAACCCCAGAAGAAUAGAAUAGUUGGAAGGGUCUCCAUGGGUCACCUCGUCCCAUGCCAUUCAAAGUGGUGGUCUGCGGACCAGCAGCAGUCUGCAAACCUUCAGCUGCUAGACCCUGACAUCUCUACCACAUCCCAGGUUGCAUGGAAGAAGAAGAAGAGUUUGGAUUUGAUAUCCCGCUUUAUCACUACCCUAAGGAGUCUCAAAGCGGCUAACAUUCUCCUUUCCCUUCCACCCCCACAACAAACACUCUGUGAGGCUGAGAGACUAGUCCAAGGACCAGAAGUGUGACUAGCCCAAGGUCACCCAGCAGCUGCAGGUGGAGGAGCGAAGACGGGAACCCCUUUCACCAGAUUACGAGUCUACCGCUCUUAACCACUACACCACACUGGCUCUCAUCACACUGGAACACAUCAGGGACCAAAUAUAGUACACCGGGGUGGGUGGGAAUUACUUGUCCAUCACAUAAGCAUUUCUGUAGUCCAAACCCCUGCAGUGCAGGAAUCACCGCUGAAGAGUCCCUGGCAGGCGGCCACCCAACCUCCAAUGAGGGAGAGUCCACCAGCCUCCAAGGGAGUCCCUUCCACUGUCAAGCAGCUGUUACCAUCAGGAAUUUCUUCCUAAUGU
rnacentral:lncRNA from 1 species